rnacentral:lncRNA from 10 species
ACCAGACAGAUUUGGGAUUUCAGAACUUUUCAGAUGUUAGAAAGGGCAUGAGCAUGAAGAUGCUGACAAAGCUGUUCCUACACUUCCUGUGCUGGCUGGGAAGGGAUCUGAUUCGGGCUGAGCCUUAAGAAUCACAGUUCCAAGCUUUCUUCUCAUUCCAGAUUUUAGUCGGGAAAGUAGGCAUUCUGGAAGUAGAGUCCGUAUCUAUACUUUAUAUGUUCCCCUUAGGUUUGAUGAGCAAAAAGUAAUAAAGGAAACACAAACUCAGGAAAGAAAAGAUUUUUCUAGGAAA